UAAUGCCCCACAAAGAAAAAAACCUUGAUCUCUGGCAUGAAGAGUCCAUUGAAACAAGGUAUUGAGACAUCAGAUAUUUAGGAUGAAGGUUUCGUGAGGAACCAGGGUUCCAAGAACAGAGGAGCCUGCCCUGCUUCCUGGCGUGGAGGCCAAGACACAGCAUGUGGUGGAAGCAGCACUCCUGUGAUAACAGAGUUAAUCCACUCACCAGGGUGGGCCCUCAAGACCCAAAGCCUCGCCGCUCCACACCGCCACAACGGCAACCAAGUUUCCAACACACGAACCUUCAGGGACCACAUUUAAACCCAAGCAGAGGGUGAUGUGAUUGAUAUGAAGGUGCCUAUAGACAAUCUUAGGAUGCAAGAUGACUUGAAUGAAAAGGUUACAGAAAUGUGUGAAGAUAACUGGGGAAAUGUUAUGAAUUAAUGGCUUCUUUUAUCUUCAGACCUCACCACUUAGAGGGCAAUAAAUAAUGCCCCUCAUGUGGAAAGAGGAUUGCAUCAGGUACUUGAGGACAAUGAUAGCUGCCUAAAUCCACCACACCACAAUACAGAAGAGUGCACAAGGGAAGAACCUUGAGAACCACAUAAAACUCAGGCUCUGCUGCAAGCCUUUCUUGCAGGCAAAGGCAGUCUAAUAAAAAUUUUAAAAAAAUCUUGCAUAGAAGAGAGAAGAAGGGAGUGAGCAGCAGAUCUAAAAUCUUUCUGAAACCACCACCAGGAUGAUAAAGUUAUCCUAACUGUGAAAAUAUGGAAAAAAAGUGCAUUACUGCAUCACAGUGCUGAUUACAGGGAAGAGACUUAUAAUACAUGUGCUUUGAAGUGGCAGUCUUCAAAAGGUACAGCUUCUGAGAGAAAAAGAUGAAAAACUAAGAGGGAGGCACUCCAGUGACUGGGUGGUAAAAAAUAAAAGACGUGGAAGGAAAAGUUACAGUCUUACAAGGCAAAGGGUAACAUGAAAGUCAGAGGGUACAUAACCACUUCCUGCAUCAACAGAAAUCUCAUCCCUGAAAAAAUCUAGACUGUGCUAUACAGACAGAGGACGAUGACAAGCCAUUAAACUAGAAAUCUUGUAAGCCACCACACGUAUGCAAAAUGAAUAGUAUUGAGAGGUGAAGCUAGCGGGGCUUCUUGGUCGAGUGGGGACUUGGAGAACUUUUCUGUCUAGCUAGAGGAUUGUGAACGCACCAAUCAGCACUCUGCAUCUAACUAAAGGAUUGUAAAUGCACCAAUCAGCACACUGUAAAAAUGCACCAAUCAGCACUCUGUAAAAUGGACCAAUCAGCAGGAUGUGGGUGGGGCCAAAUAAGGGUAUAAAAGCUGGCCACCGGAGCCUGCAGGAACAACACAAUUGGGUCCUUUUCCAUCCUGUGGAAGCUUUCUUCUUUCACUCUUCACAAUAAAUCUUGCUGAUGCUCACUCUUUAUGAGCUGUAACACUCACCAGAGGUUCUGUGGCUUCAUUCCUGAAGUCAGUGAGACCACGAACCCACCAACCCACGGGGAGGAACAAACAACUCCAGAUGCACCGCCUUUAAGCGCUGUAACACUCACUGCGAAUGUCUGCGGCUUCACUCCUGAAGUAAGUGAGACCACGAACCCACUGGAAGGAAGAAACUCGAGACACAUCUGAACGUCUGAAGGAACAAACUCCAGACACACCAUCUUUAAGAACUGUAACAGCUCACCGCGAGGGUCCAUGGCUUCGUUCUUGAAGUCAGCGAGACCAAGAACCCACCAGAAGGAACCAAUUCCGGACACAGGAUGAAAUGGAAUAAGUCUAUGCAAAGUUACCACAAAGACACAAAAAGUGAGAAUUAACACAUUUCAGCUGGAUGAAACUUCUCACCAGAAACAACCAUGAGGAAAAAUAAACAUGUAAGAAAUGAUUCAAAAUGAGUUAAAUAUACUAAAACAAAUCUCAAAUCUGAAGAACCACUUUGAAUUAGAAAUCUGAAAACUGAAAGCAAAAAUAGAAAAAGCAGAAAAAAAUGAACAGAGUUGAUUGAACUUAGCAAAGAAAUGAUAAAAAAAGACAAAAUCAUCUCAGAGUGAAGAAGACUGAAAUGGAAGAUAAUAAAGUGAAUUGACGAAACGCAAGAAAAUAAUCUGCAAAUGAAAAUAAGGUAAAGGAAGAUGUAAAAAGGCCCAGUAGAGACUGGUUGACUGGAGGAUAAAUAAGAAACAACAUACAUAAAAUUGAAGUUAUUGAUGUAGAAAACCAAACAAUAGAACAGAAUUAAUAUUUAAAUCUAAUCCAGAAAACUUUCCAGUAAUAAAAUAACACAAAUUUACGUAAUGAAGGAGAUCACUGAAUACCUGGGAAAAUAAAGCAGGAAUGACUGACGAACUUCAAGACAUACUCUAGUAAAACCAUUAGACUUCCAAGAUAAAACAAGCACUUGUUUUAUUAGACCAGUUUUAGAAUUUAGUUAUUUAUUGUCUUUUAAAAUUCACUGCUAUAUAAAUGUCUUCUUUUUAACUAAGUUUUAAAUUUAGAGCACAAGUCUAAUCCCAAUACUUUCAGGUAAAAACAUUAAGUAACAUAUGAGAGAAAAAUAAGCUGUAAUUAGAAUUCUUAGAAACAACAUAAAAAGAAAGGCAAAGCAAAAAUGGAACAGAAUAAAAAAAAUCCAUGUGAAAGGAAAUGUGGAAAAGGAUCUUUAUUUCCAGUCAAACUGUCUAAGUGCCAAGGUUACAGAAAGCCAUUUUAGACAUACAGCAACACAGGGAAUUGUAUGUCUAACAGGGGGUGAGCUUCAUUGGAAUAAGAGAUGAUUAUAAAAAUUUCAGCAAAACGACCAGUCAUCUGCAUAGCAAUAUAAGUGUACAUACAAGGCUAAAACAAAGGCAGAGGCAAGGGAGAAAGACUAGCAUACAAAUGUUACAUGUUAUGAAAAAUAGAAAUAAUAUGACUUUAACAAUGAGAGGAAAAGAUAGAGGGAAAGGAAAAAUGAACCAUUCGUUGUCUUUUAGAAAGUAGGUGGGGGUUGUAGUAUAUCACUAAAUAUUGAUAUAUCAGAUAGGAAAAAGUUAAAUAAGAAAACAGCUGGUGCUACUGAAAAAAAAAGCAUAGGUACAAAGACAAACACUACGACAAAAAUACAAAAUUCCUAAGUACAAAAGAAUAAAGGUUUUAAAAAUAAAGAGCAAAACACAAAUGUCAUGCAGAGAAAAGAACAAAGCAAAAAUAACAUGAUACUUAAAAUAUUAUGACCAAGUUACUAUUUGGAGUAGUAGUCAUAUUGACAAUUAUGAAUGCACUGUUAAAAUACAAAGAUUUUAAUUUGUUAUGCAAAGGAAGACUUAUCUAACAAGAGAUACACCUACAAUGAAAUACUUCAGAAAGGUUAAAUAUAAAGAGAUGAAGAAGUAUACCAGUUAACAAACAUCACAAAGCACCAGCUCCUUUAAUUGAGGAAAGAAGAAAGCACGAUGUAGAAAAUAAUGACAAGGGGGACUAACCACUGAAACGGUGAGGAAGUAGGGUACGCAGGAUUGGGCAGAGGGAAAAACUGAACUGCAGUGUGGUUGCAACUGUGGCUCCAGCCAGUUCUGCCUGGAGUGCGGAUGUAUCUUCGUAUUUCUCCCAGUUUGAAGCAAAGGGCUCUUCCUUUGUAUCCCUGAAUUGAUAAGUCCUGACAGGUUAUAACUGUGGCUGAUGCUGUUCCACGUGGCUGAGGGUAAUUCCAUUGGGAAG